rnacentral:piRNA from 1 species
AUGAAGUAAGAGAAGCUGUGUGCC